UACGGGGGGAGCAAGCGUUGUUCGGAUUUACUGGGCGUAAAGGGCGCGUAGGCGGUCAGCACAAGUCAGUUGUGAAAUCUCCGGGCUUAACUCGGAAAGGUCAACUGAUACUGUGCGACUAGAGUGCAGAAGGGGCAACUGGAAUUCUCGGUGUAGCGGUGAAAUGCGUAGAUAUCGAGAGGAACACCUGCGGCGAAGGCGACUUCCUGGCCUGUUCUUGACGCUGAGGCGCGAAAGCUGGGGGGAGCAAACGGG
rnacentral:rRNA from 1 species